GCAUAUCAAUAAGCGGAGGAAAAGAAACCAACAGGGAUUGCCCCAGUAACGGCGAGUGAAGCGGCAACAGCUCAAAUUUGAAAUCUGGCCUCCUUUGGGGGUCCGAGUUGUAAUUUGCAGAGGGUGCUUUGGUUGUGGCGGCGGUCUAAGUUCCUUGGAACAGGACAUCGCAGAGGGUGAGAAUCCCGUACGUGGGCGCCUGCCACUUCCGUGUAAAGCCCCUUCGACGAGUCGAGUUGUUUGGGAAUGCAGCUCUAAAUGGGAGGUAAAUUUCUUCUAAAGCUAAAUACCGGCCAGAGACCGAUAGCGCACAAGUAGAGUGAUCGAAAGAUGAAAAGUACUUUGGAAAGAGAGUAAAAUAGCACGUGAAAUUGUUGUAGAGGAAGCGCUUGCAGCCAGACUUCCCCGUAGUUGCUCACCCGGGCUCCUGCCCGGGGCACUCUUCUGCGGGGAGGCCAGCAUCAGUUUGGGCGGUCGGAUAAAGGCCCCUGUCACGUACCUCCCUUCGGGGAGGCCUUACAGGGGGGGCGUAAUGCGACCAGCCCGGACUGAGGUCCGCGCAUCUGCUAGGAUGCUGGCGUAAUGGCUGUAAGCGGCCCGUCUUGAAACACGGACCAAGGAGUCUAACAUCUAUGCGAGUGUUUGGGUGUCAAGCCCGGGCGCGCAAUGAAAGUGAACGGAGGUGGGAACCCUCACGGGUGCACCAUCGACCGAUCCUGAUGUCUUCGGAUGGAUUUGAGUAAGAGCAUAGCUGUUGGGACCCGAAAGAUGGUGAACUAUGCUUGAAUAGGGUGAAGCCAGAGGAAACUCUGGUGGAGGCUCGCAGCGGUUCUGACGUGCAAAUCGAUCGUCAAAUUUGGGCAUAGGGGCGAAAGACUAAUCGAACUAUCUAGUAGCUGGUUCCUGCCA
rnacentral:rRNA from 1 species